UUUGUUUAUUACACUUUGUUGCUUUGGCAAGCCUGCCCUCGGGCUGCUGGCUCCGGCCGGCGAGCGCUUGCCAGAGGACCUAAACUCUGUUUGUCUAUACUGUCUGAGUACUAUAUAAUAGUUAAAACUUUCAACAACGGAUCUCUUGGUUCUGGCAUCGAUGAAGAACGCAGCGAAAUGCGAUAAGUAAUGUGAAUUGCAGAAUUCAGUGAAUCAUCGAAUCUUUGAACGCACAUUGCGCCCCCUGGUAUUCCGGGGGGCAUGCCUGUCCGAGCGUCAUUACAACCCUCAAGCUCAGCUUGGUAUUGGGCCCCGCCGACCCGGCGGGCCCUAAAGUCAGUGGCGGUGCCGUCCGGCUCCGAGCGUAGUAAUUCUUCUCGCUCUGGAGGUCCGGUCGUGUGCUCGCCAGCAACCCCCAAUUUUUUUCAGGUUGACCUCGGAUCAGGUAGGGAUACCCGCUGAACUUAAGCAUAUCAAUAAGCGGAGGAAAAGAAACCAACAGGGAUUACCUCAGUAACGGCGAGUGAAGCGGUAACAGCUCAAAUUUGAAAUCUGGCCUCACGGUCCGAGUUGUAAUUUGUAGAGGAUGCUUCGAGCAUGGUCUGGCCUAAGUUCCUUGGAACAGGACGUCAUAGAGGGUGAGAAUCCCGUAUGCGGCCAGGUGCCUACGCUCAUGUGAAGCUCCUUCGACGAGUCGAGUUGUUUGGGAAUGCAGCUCAAAAUGGGUGGUAAAUUUCAUCUAAAGCUAAAUAUUGGCCAGAGACCGAUAGCGCACAAGUAGAGUGAUCGAAAGAUGAAAAGCACUUUGGAAAGAGAGUUAAACAGUACGUGAAAUUGUUGAAAGGGAAGCGCUUGCAACCAGACUUGCGCGCGGCCGAUCAUCCGGUGUUCUCACCGGUGCACUCGGCCGUGCUCAGGCCAGCAUCGGUUUUGGCGGCUGGAUAAAGGCCCUAGGAAUGUGGCUCCUCUCGGGGAG
rnacentral:rRNA from 1 species